GGGGCUGUGGGGGUGAGUGAGCGGCUGGAUAGGAACGCGCUGGGCUAGCAGACAGACAGCUGGCUGGGAGAGCUGGACAUGGACAGAAGGACACAAGGGUGGAUGGACAGCUGGUGGGAGAGCUGGAUGUAUGGAAAGAAGGAUACAGGAGUGGACGGACAGAUAGCUGGUGGGAGGGCUAGAGAUGGACAGAAGGGACACAGGGAGAGAAAGACACGGAUGGACAGACGGAUGGAUGGCUGGUGGAGAGGU